UACGUAGGUGACAAGCGUUAUCCGGAAUUAUUGGGCGUAAAGCGCCCGCAGGCGGCUGUUCAAGUCUGACGUGAAAUCGCUCGGCUUAACUGGGCGGGGUCGUUGGAAACUGAAUAGCUUGAGGCAAGGAGAGGGGCGUGGAAUUCCCGGUGUAGUGGUGGAAUGCGUAGAUAUCGGGAGGAACAUCAGUGGCGCAAGCGGCGCCCUGGCCUUAGCCUGACGCUGAGGCGCGAAAGCUAGGGGAGCAAACGGG
rnacentral:rRNA from 1 species